AUUGAGGGCCUACUGUGUAGAAUACCGAACUUCUAAAAUUAUGAAGUUACGGUGGGAUGUAAUAUGCGGAUUUUAAUAUAAAAAAGAAAAUAAAUAAAAAUAAUAUGAGAUACUAUUUUUAUUAGAUUUAGAGAAGUGAAAUAUAAGUCUGGAAUGACCCAUGUUGAAAUCAAAGCGAAAACAGAAGAUUUAGAUUUUCUGUGAGAAACGGGGCAGAUAAAUUAGCAGAAAAUACACAGUCUCAGAAAAUUAUGAAAAUUGGCGGGGAUGCCAGAAAUAUUUUAAUGAGGCUAGAUUUAAAGUUUCAUAUUUUUCUGACACCCGUAGAGUGAGAAAUAAAAUUCGAAAGCCAUCUGAUAAAGAUUGCAGUUCGGCACAGUUUUCGGUGACCAAACAGGGUCGAAACUGAAAACUUAAGAUAUAUUCUUGUUCAGUACGUUAAACUGAACAUGACUGUCAAAUUUGAGCUCAAACGGAUACUCUGGGAGCUCCGGCGAAAGAUAUAAGAUUUUAAGUUGCCUGGAAUGAAUAGUGUUGGUGUUGACUUUAAUUAGAAGCAUCAGCUUCUUCUCCUUCAACCGACCACCGCCACCAUGGCCACACACACGCACGCAUGAAAGGGGGAGAGAAACCCUCCUUUCUCUCUCUAAAUAUCUCUCUUAUCUCUCUAUAUUUCUCGCCCAAAUUCGCGGCGUUGGUGGAGAUCGAGCUUGCGAACGUGUUGGAGGCGACGGAUUGAGCUUUCGUGCGCCCGUUGGAGCGCCCGUUGGAGCGACGUGUUUUCAUUGCGGCGUUCACAUUGGGGUAAGCUUUUGGGAUUUGGCUUAAUCCUUAGCUUUAAGAGUUCUAGUGGCCUCUAAUGAGCAUUUUUAGCAUGUUGCUCCAUUUAAUUUGGAUUAUUUGGGAGUAAUUGCAUGUUAGGGCUCAAAAAUAGAAUUUUUCAAUAUGUGAGGGUUUGAUCUAAUUUGACCCUUCGUAAACCUAAUUGCAAGGUAAACGAACGCGUUGGCGAAGUCGGUUCGGCGAUUCGUCGAUCGGCGAUUCGUCGAGCCGUUGUAAAGUUAUUAAAGAAACGGUCGUUUAGGCUUCGUUUCCGCCUGGAGGGCCGAGGCGACAUCGUAUACUCAUGAAAACGGAUUUGAAGCAUCGUGGCACAUAACCGAAGACCUUUAAUUUUCGGAUCGUGAAUUGGAGGCCGUUCGGGUGGUCGCGCGAGAGAUCGGGCCAAACCGGGUGCCGGGUGCCGCGGGAGGCCGAUUACAAGUGUCGACAAGCAAUCGGAAUGCGAUAAAAGGUGGGGGGUGUCAUCCCGAAGCAACUGAGCUUCCUUUUAUGUCUAAGUUCUAUAUCUUGAUCAUAUUCCUAUAUGUUGAUAUAUUGUGCAUUAUAGGAUUAGUAGAUGAUUACAUUUCCAUUCCUUGCAUGUUACCUAGGUUGUGUAGCAUUGUGGGCUUGACACUUGAUCUUAGGUUGCAUGAGGAUUGGGUCUUGUGACAAGAAUCCUAUAGUGACAAGAAUGAUGAUGAACUUGGACAUGUAAUUGGCCUAGACGAGUGGCAUUUGGACUAGUGUAACAAAGACACUAUAAUAUUGACGAGUGGCAUGUCGAUUUAGUGUAUUAAGACACAUAUAACAUCAUGACAUAAACGAGUGGCAUCAAAUCUAGUGUAGUGAAACACUAUGGCAUUUGAACCUAGGGAUAGUAGAUUUUCCCGAUUGUCAUGUUGUAGACAUUAUGCAUUUGGCAUUAGUGCAUUUGAGGCAUUGAUUAUGCAUUUGGUAUUGUGCAGCAGAGGCACAUUGACCCUGGUAGAUAGGGUAUCCUCUUGUGAGGAUUGGAUCAUACUCACUAGUCUGUUUUUGCUUGUCGGUGAUCGCUCCACCGAGGCACGAGUCUCCGGAGUACUUCACUAGGGGCAGACGUAGUUGUCCCGCAGACGGUCUCGGUGUGCGAGUGCAGAUUCUGCUCACCUAUGAGAUUGAGAGUGAGUCGGGGUUGACCCCGGGGUGGCAACCUUCGGGUUAGCCAUGAGAUUGGAUACUAUCGAGGCAUAGUUGCACGACGCACUAUGUAGUAGCUCGUUCAUUCGGAUUAUUGAGGCAUAGUAGCAUGUGUAGAGACAUCACUAUGUAGUAGCUCAUUUCUUUAUUGUUGAGACAUAGUA
rnacentral:lncRNA from 1 species